GCCGAAGUGGUGGAAUGGCAGACGCGACGGACUCAAAAUCCGUUACCCUUAAAAGUGUGCGGGUUCAAGUCCCGCCUUCGGCACCA
rnacentral:tRNA from 1 species